rnacentral:rRNA from 1 species
UCGGGAAUUUUGGGCAAUGGGCGAAAGCCUGACCCAGCAACGCCGCGUGAAGGAUGAAGUAUUUCGGUAUGUAAACUUCGUAAGAAUAGGAAGAAUAAAUGACGGUACUAUUUGUAAGGUCCGGCUAACUUCGUGCCAGCAGCCGCGGUAAUACGAAGGGAGCUAGCGUUGUUCGGAAUCACUGGGCGUAAAGCGCACGUAGGUGGGCAGUUAAGUCAGGGGUGAAAGCCCGAGGCUCAACCUCGGAAUUGCCUCUGAUACUGGCUGUCUAGAGUUCGAGAGAGGUGAGUGGAAUUCCUAGUGUAGAGGUGAAAUUCGUAGAUAUUAGGAAGAACACCGGUGGCGAAGGCGGCUCACUGGCUCGAUACUGACACUGAGGUGCGAAAGCGUGGGGAGCAAACAGGAUUAGAUACCCCCGUAGUCCCUGAGCGGGCUGGCAAGGCGCAU